AGCUCCGAGAAGGAUCUGCUCCGCGUCUGCUCCUGCUGAGCCGAGGUCCAGCCCAAACGCUCAAAUUAGAGCUUGUUAGCCAAUUGCUGAAAAACUGCAGGGGGACUCAUUUGUAAGCGCACUAAUGAGACAUCCCAGGAUGGAAAGCCUGGUAUUAUUUUUAGCAUUUCAGAGCUGACACCCCAAACACCUCUAUAACCACCCGCCAGUCUGAAGAGGGAACAAGCAGAGCUCAGGGUGUGGCGCCCUGCGCGGGCGGUGCUCAUUGACAGUCCACCUGUUCACACAAGAGCGUUGAUGGAGAUGGGCAAGGAGAUGAAUGUUGUUUAUCUGACAGUUUACACACAGUCAUUCUGCAGCCCAUAGAUCAAGGAGUCAUUUUGACUUUCAAGUCUUAUUAUUUAAGAAGUACAUUUUGUAAGAUUAUAACUGCUUAGUGAUUCCUCUGACAGAUCUAGACAAAGCAAACCGAAAACCUUCUGGAAAAGAUUCACCGUUCUAGAUGCCAUUAAGAACAUCUGUGAUUCCUGGGAGGAAGUCAAAAUAUCAACACUAACCAGAGUUUGGAAGAAGUUGAUUCCAGUCCUCCUGGAUGACUUUGAGGGGUUCAAGACUUCAGUGGAGGAAGUCACUGGAAAUAGCAAGAGAACUAGAAUUAGAAGAGAAGCCUGUAAGUGAGACUGAAUUGCUGCAAUCUCAUGAUCAAACUUGAAGGGAUGAGGAGUUGCUUCUUAUGCAUAACAAAAGACAGUGGUUUCCUCAGGUGCUGUGAACAUUGUUGAAAUGACAACAAAGUAUUUAUUCAAAUAACUUAGUUGACAAAAGGGUAAAAUGCUAUCAAACAGCAUUGUAUACAACAGAGAACUCUUCAUGAAAGGAAGAGUCAACUGAUGCCACAAACUUCAGUGUUUUCUUAUUUUAAGAAAUUGCCACAGUUACCCCAACCUUCAGCCACCACGGCCCGGAUCGGUCAGCAGCCAUAACAUUGAGAAGUAUCCUCUACCAGCAAAAAGAUGACUACUUGCUGAAGGUUCAGAUGAUUGUUAGCAUUUUUUUUAGCAACAAAGUAUUUUAAUUAAGAAGGGCUGUCUUGAGAUGCAACCAUUCGCAUGGCCUGUCGGAAGAUGGUCCUGCAAGAUGGCAUCAUCUAUUGAGCUGAACAACCAGUAGUGGCGAGCUCGGUUAUAGCGCCUUAUAAGCUCUCCCUUUUUUCCUGCCUUGUUCCCCUCUUCCCUCACUCUUCUGUCCUUAGGAAGGCCCUCCCCAGUCUAGAAAGAGCCCACAUACUUUGCCUCAGGGUCUGCUUUCUAGGGAAGUCAGGCUAAGGCAGGUAGGUCUCUUCCGUCCACCCAGGCUCCCUUCCUCUCUCCUCCCCAUUUCCCGUUGUGCUUCUGGUUGAAGAAUGCACUGUUUUGGUUAACAGAACUGAAAUGUGUCUUCAGGCAGGUUCAAAUGAAGCCCUUCCUGGUCUAAUGCUUUCUAAUCUUUUUAUCCCAGACAAAAUCAGCCUCUCAGAUUUAACAAGGUUUCUGGUUAUCCCAAGGGAAAAAAAAAAAA
ensembl:lncRNA